rnacentral:rRNA from 1 species
UACAUGGGUGAUGGGGUCCCACAGACUUACUGAGCCUAAGUAAACUCCGAAUACCGUAGAGUAAUAUCCGGGAGACACACGGCGGGUGCUAACGUCCGUCGUGAAGAGGGAAACAACCCUGACCUACNNUGCGGCGAAGAUGUAACGGGGCUCAAGCCACGAGCCGAAGCUUAGGAUGCACAGCAAUGUGCGUGGUAGCGGAGCGUUCUGUGAUAUAGCACCGUCCGAUUUUAGCCUUCCUCGCGGAAGGUUCCGAUCGGAAAGGUGCUUUCUGUGAAGCCGGGCUGUAAGGCAUCCGGUGGAGAGAUCAGAAGCGAGAAUGUUGACAUGAGUAGCGACAAACAGGGUGAGAGACCCUGUCGCCGAAAGUCCAAGGGUUCCUGCUUAAAGCUAAUCUGAGCAGGGUAAGCCGACCCCUAAGGCGAGGCCGAAAGGCGUAGUCGAUGGGAACCAGGUUAAUAUUCCUGGGCCAGGAGGAUGUGACGGAUCUCGACGGUUGUCUGCCCUUAUCGGAUUGGGUGGGCCGCUUAGAGGUUCCUGGAAAUAGCCCUCCGUAAGAUCGUACCCUAAACCGACACAGGUGGACUGGUAGAGAAUACCAAGGCGCUUGAGAGAACCACGUUUAAGGAACUCGGCAAAAUGCUCCCGUAAGUUCGCGAGAAGGGAGCCCCGUCUGUAGGCAACUAUGGGCGGGGGGCACAAACUAGGGGGUGGCGACUGUUUACUUAAAACACAGGGCUGUGCGAAGCCGUAAGGCGACGUAUACAGUCUGACGCCUGCCCGGUGCUGGAAGGUUAAAAGGAGGGGUGCAAGCUCCGAAUUGAAGCCCCAGUAAACGGCGGCCGUAACUAUAACGGUCCUAAGGUAGCGAAAUUCCUUGUCGGGUAAGUUCCGACCUGCACGAAUGGCGUAACGAUCUCCCCGCUGUCUCAAACGUGGACUCAGCGAAAUUGAACUGUGUGUCAAGAUGCACACUUCCCGCGGUUAGACGGAAAGACCCCAUGCACCUUUACUAUAGCUUCGCACUGGCAUCAGGAUUGUGAUGUGCAGGAUAGGUGGUAGGCUUUGAAGCGGGAACGCUAGUUUCCGUGGAGCCUCCCUUGAGAUACCACCCUUCGCACUCUUGAUGUCUAACCGCGGUCCGUUAUCCGGAUCCGGGACCCUGCGUGGUGGGUAGUUUGACUGGGGCGGUCGCCUCCCAAAGAGUAACGGAGGCGCGCGAAGGUUGGCUCAGAGCGGUCGGAAAUCGCUCGUUGAGUGCAAUGGCAGAAGCCAGCCUGACUGCGAGACUGACAAGUCGAGCAGAGUCGAAAGACGGCCAUAGUGAUCCGGUGGUCCCAAGUGGGAGGGCCAUCGCUCAACGGAUAAAAGGUACGCUGGGGAUAACAGGCUGAUGAUGCCCAAGAGUCCAUAUCGACGGCAUCGUUUGGCACCUCGAUGUCGGCUCAUCUCAUCCUGGGGCUGGAGCAGGUCCCAAGGGUAUGGCUGUUCGCCAUUUAAAGAGGUACGUGAGCUGGGUUUAGAACGUCGUGAGACAGUUCGGUCCCUAUCUGCCGUGGGUGUAGGAGACUUGAGAAGAGUUGCCCCUAGUACGAGAGGACCGGGGUGAACGAACCACUGGUGGACCAGUUGUCGUGCCAACGGCAGUGCUGGGUAGCUAUGUUCGGACAGGAUAACCGCUGAAGGCAUCUAAGCGGGAAGCCCCCUUCAAAACAAGGUCUCCCUUGAGAGCCGUGGAAGACGACCACGUCGAUAGGCCGGAGGUGUAAGUGCGGCAACGCAUUCAGCUGACCGGUACUAAUUGCUCGAUUGGCUUGAUU